UACGUAGGGUGCGAGCGUUGUCCGGAAUUAUUGGGCGUAAAGAGCUUGUAGGCGGUUUGUCGCGUCUGCUGUGAAAAUCCGGGGCUCAACCCCGGACUUGCAGUGGGUACGGGCAGACUAGAGUGUGGUAGGGGAGACUGGAAUUCCUGGUGUAGCGGUGAAAUGCGCAGAUAUCAGGAGGAACACCGAUGGCGAAGGCAGGUCUCUGGGCCAUAACUGACGCUGAGAAGCGAAAGCAUGGGUAGCGAACAGGAUUAGAUACCCGGGUA
rnacentral:rRNA from 1 species